UUCACUAAAAUCAGUAAAAGAUAAGCACGUAAGUAUUAAUCAUUGUGUAUCGAUCAUUCCCACAAAACAAUUACAUAUAAUAACCACAAAUAAACGUUAAUAUACAAGUCAAACAUAAAAUAACGAUAUGUAUCCACAAAAAACUGAACCAUAAACACAUAAAGCAAGCAGUGGAAAGGGCGAGAUUGACAAAUAUUCUUAUGUGAUACAUGAGAAAUAAAUAUACAAAGAAACAAUUAACCGACUGGUUAGAAGUGUUAAUCCAAAAAUAUAUAAAUGUACU
rnacentral:lncRNA from 1 species